CCCUUAGAUGUUCUGGGCCGCACGCGCGCUACACUGACGAAUGCAACGAGCUUAUAACCUUGGCCGAAAGGUCUGGGUAAUCUCCAAAUUUCGUCGUGAUGGGGAUAGAUUAUUGCAAUUAUUAAUCUUCAACGAGGAAUGCCUAGUAAGCGCAAGUCAUCAGCUUGCGUUGAUUACGUCCCUGCCCUUUGUACACACCGCCCGUCGCUCCUACCGAUUGAAUGGUCCGGUGAAGCGUUCGGACCGUGGCCUUUGGACGGUUCGCCGUCUGUUGGCUGCGGGAAGUUCAUUAAACCUUAUCAUUUAGAGGAAGGAGAANUCGUAACA
rnacentral:rRNA from 1 species